rnacentral:piRNA from 1 species
UUACCGCUGAUGGUGUUUAAAGGAAAAACAU